CCAGUGCAAAAAAGAUUUUCGAUAUCUCAUCCAAAAUGGAUCCGAUUCGAAUUCAAUUCAAAGCUGGUUCGAAAUAAUUUCAAAAGACUGUCAUUCCCAAAUACUUUAGAACUUUUAUACCAAAUCUAACUUAAAUUUUGAAUCCAAUUAAAUCUAAUUAAUUUAUAUCUAAUUUAAAAUUAAUUAGUACUUAAAUUUAAUCUUUUAUAUGCUCUAU
rnacentral:lncRNA from 1 species